UUUUUAUUUUUAUUUUUUUUUUGGGUUUAUAAUUUUGUUUCCGUCGGAUUGCUGUUUUUGGUUCAUACCGCAUAAUUCAUAGCUAGUUUGAAAUAUCUGUCUGCCAUUAGAAUUAUUUUAAUAUUGUUUCUGUUUGAGUGGUGUGCCGUGGGACCCAUCCAUGUGUGAGUCCCUCUUCCCCGUGCAAGCCCCCUCAUUUUCCCCUCGCUCUCUUUCUGUCAUCCCCACUCCCGACUCCCCACACGCAACUCUCCCUGUCUUUCAUCUCUAUCCCUCGCCUCUGCAACUCACUCUCUCGCCGCUCUUAUCAAGUCUAGAGAAAAAUCAAGAAAACUUACCUCAACAUGCAGAGCUUAACCUUACCUUUAGUUCCCAGAAAAUCGAACGGGAAGCCAACGAACCUACAAGCACCAUCGCGGCUCGACUGCCCGACGAUAAAUAUCGUCGAUUCCAGCUAACAAAGGAUCGUACUCAUGUACUCCAUGCAUAUUUUGGUGAAGGUUUAGCACAAAUCGACUCGGACAAAUGAGCUCCAAUCGAGCUCUGGAAGGUUUCCCCAGAAAUCUGCCACUCUUGGCCUUGUCGGAAAAGGCGAAUGCAAGCUGUACUCACGGCGCGUUGGCUGGGCGUGGCACUGUAGUGGCCAGCAUGUGGCCUCCAGAUGGGUCUGGGGUAAACCUAAAAGCCUUCCAACAACACAUUAUGAAGGAUUCUAAUUUGAUAACACAGCUGAAUAACUUGCAUGUUUCCCAAUUUAUCCUUGCUGUGUUUCAGCUGUGCGAAGCUCAAAGUUAUUCUGAUGGAGAACAUUGGAAUUUUAGGAUUAUAGAAUUUCCAUGAUUUCCACAUUUAUAUGAAAUAUUAGGAUUGGGGCAAUUAAAGUAAUUUAUUAUCUUGAUUUUUGCUGUAUGGGACUCUAAAUUUGAUAAUCUGGUAAAUUAUGCAGCAUUUCCACUAUUAGUAAUUUGAUAAGCUUCUGGUUCUUUUUAGUUAAAACUUCCUUAAAUUAUGUUGCAUGUCUUUGGUUUCCUUAAUCAUUGCGUAUCUGAACCGUUGUUGGCUCAAUUUCUUGUUCGAAAUGUUUUGGAGUUUAAUUUACUAUGUGAUUGGUGUUAUGUUCAUCAACUAUUUUGAUUCAGGAGAAGUCAGUUGUUGAGCCAGGCUCUGGCAGUGAUAGCAGUAGUCAAGCUACGAGUUCCUCUAUGAGAAGUCAGUUGUUGAGCCAGGCUCUGGCAGUGAUAGCAGUAGUCAAGCUACGAGUUCCUCUAUGAGCUCUGGCCCUCCAGAAUUUCAUUUUCUUUUUCUGGUUUUGGUUGGCGUUUGUGUCGACACUUGCUACAUAGUGUUUGAAAAGAAACAGCUAUAAGUUGAAUGAAAUCCUAGUUUUUAAAUUUUGCAUUGCUAUUCUGAGGUUAUAAACUGUUUGUUGUAGAGUCUUUCACUUCUCUUCCAACUUAUAAACUAAUAAAUGAUAACUUACGAUGAUCUUGUGUGUUAUAUUGUUGAAUGUUGUGUGGUUCCCCUGCCAAGUAGAAGCAUGAAAGACAGCACUAAAGCUAGAACCUACUUGAUUAUAAGCAAGGCUGGAGCCAGGGGCUGAAGGUUGUUUGCGGUGGUUGAGGGUUGUUUGGCUUGCGAGGAACUCAAAGAGUAAUGGUAUUUGUUACAUUGUUAGAUUCUUAGGUUUAGUUGAGUUUUUCAUGGGAGAAAAAA